GACACAGCCCCAGGGUUCAGGGAAUUUGGGAACACAAAGAUUAUAUUUAGAUUAAAAUAAUUUGUAUUGAAAGAAAACACUGAUUUCCAGACCUGCUGGUAUAAAAUUGGUGUUAGAUUUGCUAUUGCACAUUUUAGGGAUUAUGACAUUGGGAUUUACUUCAGAGGGAUCAGCCUUCAUGUCUUCAAACAUCAAAGGAAAAUGAAUCUUGUGUUUUUGUACCUUUAAAUGAUUCAUCUUGCAGAUAUUUACUCAGUAGCUACUUUGUGCCAGGUACUGUGCUGUUUCCAGGGGCUAUUGCUUUAAACAAAUAUUAUCUCUGCCCUCAUGGAAUGUACUAUCAGGAUAAUUUGUUGACGGACCUUGACUUUUCCUUUUCUUGAGUAUUUCAUGCUGUGCUCGCUACUUUAUAUCCUUCUCUUUUCUGUUUUGUGGUAUCCAUGUAUCUGUUGGCAUCUAUUAGCAUAUUCAGUAUUAUGCCACAGACACAUGGCAGGAAUAAAAGAAAGGUAUACUGAGUAACUUUACUGCUGCAAAGCAGUCAUAAAACACUGAGAAAUAGCAACCCCCCAAUCAUAAUUUAAUCAUUACCUCUUCUUUCAUUUCUUCUCAGUAAACAAAUGUAGAAUCAUUUGCUAUUUUGCAUAAUUUUAAAGCAAAAGCUACAGAUUUUUUCAUCUGUCGGUUUAUGUGUUACAUUUUUACUAACCAAUUUGACAUCCAUUCCUUCUAUCUUGUAUAUCUUUUUUUUUUUUUUCUUUUUUGACAUUGCUACUGUUAUGGCUUCUGAAACGUAUUUUUUUGGCUUGUCACUUCCUUUUCAAGUCAUUUUUGUGGCUUUCUCCUCCAGCCAAACCCUCGAAUUCCUCCAUGUGCUAAUGAAAGCCCUUAGCGACACCAGUGAGAUUACUCUGUUAGUAAUGUUUCAUCGUGGGAUCUGAAAUGUAUGUUGGUUCUUUAUUUGUGUAAUUUUACAUACCCUCACGCUCAUAUUUAGUUUUUAAGCCUGUAAAAACUGCUAAUGGUUAUUUGAAACUGUUCAUUGAAAUUAAUCCUCUGAGGUAGGCUUUUGAUACGUAGUAAGAAUGUUCUUACAACUGUCACCUUUUCUCUUUCCAGUUUUGAGAAAUGUAACUAAUGUAGUAAACACACAUGGACUCUUCAGUCACUUUAUUUAAUAAUUUAAUAAGCCCAUUUAAUAAUUCUGCAAUAUGUUACAAAGACCGUUAUCUCAAAGUCAAUUAGAACUUUUUGUUUCUUUCAUAGUCUAUUUUGAGUACUAUGUGCAUAGAUUUCAUUUAACCGUGGACUGUUUUGUGUCCUACUUAUUUUGCUUCAAUCAUCUACUGUCCAAGUAAAACAGAAAUUAGAUUCUGAUAGUUGGCAUUUGUUUAUGUUCCUUCAGACUCAUAUGUUGUGACUAAUCACGUUUACACACUGCUAAUUCAUUUUUGUGAAAUAAAAUCUUACUAAACAUCAUUUUCCAGUAAUCUGGAAAUCAGUUCCAUAACUUCAAGAGGUUAAUUUACUCACAGGCCCUCUAACAUGGCAGGUAGCAAGUUGAGUCAUAAUUUCACAAGUGUUUUCCAAGUGUUUGUGUGCUUUUCAGAUCUCAAUUUCAGAAGGUAAGCGCUGAUUGUUAGUUCUCCCUUAGUUCUGGAAGGCCCUUAAACUGCUAGUCAUCCGAAGCGAAUAACCUUCAUCACUUGGUAAGAGACUUUUGGAAGUGAGGCCAUUCUACUCAGGGGACCUGGGGAUCUGAGAUUGCUAGGACAACAGAGGAGUAACCCACACUCAGUUUACUUGCACUCUGGUAUUUCCCAGUUAAAGGCCGUGCCCUUGAUUCUACCUUGUGAUGUUCAGAGUCCCCUGAAUUAGUUGCAUUUUUAUGGACUUUAAAUCAGUGUCUAGAACAGAGAUGGACAUCUCCUAUUCUGGAUUUCCAAAAACUCACUCCGCUCUCCCUUUGGUCUUUGACAUAAACAUAACAAAGAGAAAGAUAUUUUAAUUAUGCUUUCCUUAUUUCUGUGAUAGUCACCUCCCUCAGAGGAGCAAGAUAAAAAAAACAAAAAUCUCAAUUUACUGUUUGAAAAGAAGUUUCUGUAUACUCUUGUAUGGUACUUGUGGAUUUAAAUACUUCAGAGAGAAGACAAGUAGAAUAUCAUCAAGUAUGAUAAAUUGAAUUUGACUAUAAAUGUAUUUCAUUGACUAGGUUAACAAUAGUGCAUAUCCUAAUAAACGGAUAUAUCAGUUUCUUCUUAGCUAGAGUGGCUGCUUAGAAGAUGAACAGUUGUAAAGUGAGGAGAUAACAUCUCCUACUUCACUAAAAAAUUAACCUGUUAAAAGGGUCUUAUUUUCCUACUAGACAGUCCUACUAGACUGAAUUAUUUUAACUUUUCCAAUUUUUCACAGACCAGAAAAAAAAAAUUACCAGCCCAUGAUUACCCACAGUGAUAGCAUCCUCAGUUGUCUUAGAGACAAAUGCCACACCUUAAUCCCACUUUGAGAUGCAGAGAGGUAGAAUUUAAAGUGUUGCCAAAUCAUCCAGCCCAAAUGAGCUGAUGUUACUUGAUGAGUAGAAGUAGAUACUUAAUUAAUCAGAAUUAAUAAAAGUUGGUUCAAUGAUGAGUUCAAGAUAAAUAUUCAUAAAUUGAUAUUACUCUUUUUUCAGCAAUAGCAAUUUUGAAGAAUACAAUGAAAAAGAUAUUUCAGGAGUUCCCGUGGUGGCUCAGUGGGAUAAGAACCCGACUAGUAUCCCUGAGGAUGCUGGUUCCAUCUCUGGCCUCACUCAGUGAGUUAAGGAUCCAGCAUUGCCAUAAACUGUGGUAUGGGUCACUGAUGCGAGUCGGAUCCUUUGUUACUGUGGCUGUGGCAUGGGCUGGCAGCUGCAGCUCCAAUUCAGCCCUUGGCCUGGAAACUUCCAUAUGCCACAGGUACAGU
rnacentral:lncRNA from 1 species